rnacentral:lncRNA from 1 species
AAGUCUAACCAUUUUGAAAUACUAUCUUCGUUGUUCUGUUUACAUUGUCUUGUUGCUUUUGCAACGCAUUCUACAAGCUGAGUAAGCAACUCUUGAAUGUGGCGUUUUGCCAAAAUGCCAUAUGUACUGCAGUUAUCAUGAUUCCUGUUAAAAAUUGUUUCAUUCAUGUGUUUAGUAACCCAAACUCUUGCAUAUUCACUUUGGUCUAUUAUAAAGCUAAUGUAGUGUUAAAAAUUUUCCAAUUGAGCCAACUGUACCAUAAUUGAUUUCAUAAGACUACUUUUCACGACUGAAAGAUGUCAUCACAUGCUCUUUGACAUCUAUUGAAAAAAGAUCAGCAACAUUAUCAAUGGUAGUUUUGGUGACAGCAUCUUUGAAAGAUAGAGAAGCUAUUACAUUUUCUGUCUUGCUUUCGAAAACACUUAUGAACAUACACCAAACAGUACCUUUAUACACCUCCAUUUGCGACUGUAACUGUCAUUCAGUCGAAUGAAAAAAUACGUUAUGUAGAAGUAACAUUGGUAGCAAUCAUCGCUCUGUAAGGUGACAAUAAAUUAAACUGAUAGUCAUUAUUUCGAUGUUCAUUGUGUUCCUCUAUGUCAUCUGAUAUAUCAGUAUUUCUUCGGUUGCAUAAGAAAUGUCAAAUCAAACAUCUUGUGUGCUGUAUUCGGCUAGUUUUGUGUCAAUUUCCCGAAAUAUUAUAUCUGUAACCUGGACCGCCAUUCUUCUAUAAUCAUCCUGAGAAGCCCAACUGCAAUGCCUCUGUUGUCUGAUUAUGCUUAUAUGAUUACUAGAUAUCUGCGAAAGGCUUAUGCUACCUUCUAAUUUUU